rfam:Myotis brandtii contig161785, whole genome shotgun sequence.
GAACAGCCUCCUUCAAAAUGCAGCCUGAUUGUGAUUCAUGGCAAAAAGCUGGAAUAGCCCUGCCAGGUCGUAGACGCAUUAAGAUAAAUUGCAUUGAAUGUGAUACAUAUAAAACAGCACCUUGAAAAUGAAUCAUCUGCUAAUUCAGUAUUUUCUAAUUACAAUCACUCCCUCUCAGGGCAUGUAAUUAAUUUACUGAGUUUUAAAAAAAAAAAAG